AGCAACGCCGCGUGAUGAAGAAGGGUUUCGGCUCGUAAAGCUCUGUUGUUAAAGAAGAACGUGGGUAAGAGUAACUGUUUACCCAGUGACGGUAUUUAACCAGAAAGCCACGGCUAACUACGUGCCAGCAGCCGCGGUAAUACGUAGGUGGCAAGCGUUAUCCGGAUUUAUUGGGCGUAAAGCGAGCGCAGGCGGUCUUUUAAGUCUAAUGUGAAAGCCUUCGGCUCAACCGAAGAAGUGCAUUGGAAACUGGGAGACUUGAGUGCAGAAGAGGACAGUGGAACUCCAUGUGUAGCGGUGAAAUGCGUAGAUAUAUGGAAGAACACCAGUGGCGAAGGCGGCUGUCUGGUCUGCAACUGACGCUGAGGCUCGAAAGCAUGGGUAGCGAACAGGAUUAGAUACCCUGGUAGUCCAUGCCGUAAACGAUGAUUACUAAGUGUUGGAGGGUUUCCGCCCUUCAGUGCUGCAGCUAACGCAUUAAGUAAUCCGCCUGGGGAGUACGACCGCAAGGUUGAAACUCAAAAGAAUUGACGGGGGCCCGCACAAGCGGUGGAGCAUGUGGUUUAAUUCGAAGCUACGCGAAGAACCUUACCAGGUCUUGACAUCUUCUGACAGUCUAAGAGAUUAGAGGUUCCCUUCGGGGACAGAAUGACAGGUGGUGCAUGGUUGUCGUCAGCUCGUGUCGUGAGAUGUUGGGUUAAGUCCCGCAACGAGCGCAACCCUUAUUACUAGUUGCCAGCAUUAAGUUGGGCACUCUAGUGAGACUGCCGGUGACAAACCGGAGGAAGGUGGGGACGACGUCAAAUCAUCAUGCCCCUUAUGACCUGGGCUACACACGUGCUACAAUGGAUGGUACAACGAGUCGCGAGACCGCGAGGUUAAGCUAAUCUCUUAAAACCAUUCUCAGUUCGGACUGUAGGCUGCAACUCGCCUACACGAAGUCGGAAUCGCUAGUAAUCGCGGAUCAGCAUGCCGCGGUGAAUACGUUCCCGGGCCUUGUACACACCGCCCGUCACACCAUGAGAGUUUGUAACACCCAAAGCCGGUGGGGUAACCUUUUAGGAGCUAGCCGUCUAAGGG
rnacentral:rRNA from 1 species